GGAUGGAUGGAUGGACAUUUUCAAGCAAACAAACGAAAUAAAAAAAGGGUCUCAUGUGUUGUCAACUCCAGAAGCACUUCAACACACACUUCUGCUGCCCAUUGGAGCAUCCUCAGGAGCCUCCAUCACAUGUGAAAUAAAGAGCCUGAUUCCCAACCGUAUCCAGGGAGGAGGAGCUUGACUCGGAGGUGUUGAUCCAGACAACUGAGCAGCGAGCUUUGAAAGCUGAGGAGGCCCUCCAAGGCAGCGCUUGAGAACAUUAAAAACCUGGAGAGACAACUACAUGAUUCUUUAGAAGAAAAGAAAACAGCUUCACCGUUGCCUGCUGUUGUUUCUCCAAAGAAAGCCACACAUCAACGCAAAUGUUUCUCAUGAUGUCGCCGUAAAUUUAAUUUGAAAAAAGCAAAUUGUGCAAUACUAAAUGAGUAGUGUAAAAGGUAAAAAAAAAAAGAUGAAAGAUGAGUAUCUUAUAGAGUGUUCAAGAUGCUCUGGUUACGCACUCUGGCCUGUACUUGAGGGUCUUCCAUGGCUGCCAGAUGCUGCUGUAACUCCACUGGAAAGCUGACAGAAAAUCAAAGCCAAGCACAACACAGCGUGGUCAGCAGAACCCUCAAAGUGGACCGCAAAUCUCUGCAUGCAUCUGCUGACAGAUCAAAUGGAUCAAGGUCUAUUUUGAGGAGAACUUUGAAUUUGGAGUGGCCUUCACGGUUGAGCUGUUUCAAUUAAGUUCAUUUCUCGGUGAUUGUCUUGAGCAAAGGUUCUUAAAUAAA